rnacentral:lncRNA from 1 species
AUGUAUGCCAGAAUGCAGAUCUCAGGAAACACACCAACAACAGGGGCAGCCAGUCAACAUCAAGUUGAGAAGAAAAAUCCGCAGGAGACAAAGCCUCCCCCACCCCGCCCCAGUGAGCUUUUUAUCAGUGAGAUGUGUAAAGUUACUGUUCUCUGGGACAGUCGGUUGACCCUGAACAAGGAAACAUUCACAGGGAGGGAAAGACUCAGGAGGACACGUUCGUGGCCCGUCAGGAACUCCAGCCACCCACACGAAUUUACCAGUGUUUCCGCGAGCACCUGCUCCUGGUCAGGUGAGGGAGCCACACUUGGGAUCUAGUGGCAAACAAGGCAGACACAGAUGCAACCCCGAAGGAGCUCCCGGGUCGUCGGGACAGAGGCUGGGAGCCCUGCCUCCCAAGGGGGAGAGCUACAGGCAGUCACGGAAUUUGUACAAAGUGCUUCUGACCAAUUAAUCUGAAGAGCUGCCCCCUGAGAGGCAGGCUGAGUUCUGUUUAGGGAGCACAUACUGCUCUGCCUGAGAAGUGAGGUGUAGGGCAUGUGAACCAACAGGAGGGUCUGGCUGGCAUCACAGAAUAAAGUGGGACAAAUCAGGCCCUCUGGUCGGCCUCAUAUUGACCAAGUGAAUGCCUAACAGACAUAGUCCAUCUGCGAUCUGUAAGCAUCUUUGCUCAGCCUGAAAGGAAGCACUGCAAUGCAGGAGAUACCCCCAUGUGACUACUCUCAUGUUCCCCAGGCUGGAGGCCGGACGGUGGAUGGCAGGUGUAUGUAUAUAUGCAUAUGUAUUUAUGUAUGCCUAUACCCAUAGCCUCUAUAUCUAAAUCUAUAUGAACCCAAAGCCAGCUUCUUUGGUCUGAUGCAGGGCAUCAUUCUGGAUUUUGUAUAAGUGGUUGCCUAAAUCCCUGGCAUGAGGUAUAGAGCACAGAGAACAUGACCAUCUUUUCCAUUACCAAGAAUUACUUGGUCCCUCUCUGCCUCCACAAUUCUUCCUUCUCUUUCCUCUUUCUGCCUACAUCUUCAUUCCUUCAUGAAGUCAAAAUACCCAGGGGACAGCUAAAUCAUACAGAACAUCUGCUUUCAUAAAGAAGGAA